rnacentral:rRNA from 1 species
UACGGCGAGUGAACAGGGAAAAGCCCAGCACCGAAGCCUGUGGCCAUUUGGUUACUAGGCAAUGUGGUGUUUAGGUCAUUCCGCGUUGGCGCUGCUCCAUUCCAAGUCCAGCAAUGAAUACGGUAAUGCUGACAUAGCCCAAAGCGGGUGAAAGGCCCGUGGGAGUGGAGAUGCAGAAAUGACAGUGCCUUCCUGGAUAGACCUUGGAGUCGGGUUGUUUGUGAAUGCAGCCCAAAGUGGGUGGUAAACUCCAUCCAAGGCUAAAUACUAACACGAGUCCGAUAGCGAACAAGUACCGUGAGGGAAAGUUGAAAAGUACUUUGAAGAGAGAGUAAACAGUGCGUGAAACCGCUCAGAGGUAAACGGGUGGAGUUGAACUGUGAACUCUGUGGAUUUAGCUGGUGAGCAUGGUUUGAGCUUGGUCAAAUUGGCUGAAGUGCGGAGUCUGCGGAUUAGCAGGUCCUCGCCUUUUGGUGGGGAUGCGUGAGGCACUCAUCAGGUGUUGCGCGCUCCGUACUGAAUCGGGCCAGCUUGCCAGUGCACUUUCACAGAGUGGUCACCACGACCGGCAUUGCUGUCGGACUGUUGUGGUUAAACCGGUCUUGCAUUGUCCUUGUGACUUUGUUUGGUCGGGAUGGCAGGUAGCUCGUUGGCUUGCUUGUGGUUCGCUGCAGGCAUUUGGUCUUCGGGUGUAAUCAGCUGACCACAUCAGUACUGUGCAGUAUGUC